UCAAACUUGGUCAUUUAGAGGAAGUAAAAGUCGUAACAAGGUUUCCGUAGGUGAACCUGCGGAAGGAUCAUUACCGAGUGUCACCCCCCAGUAAAAAGGGGGGUACCUCCCGUCCUUUGCUAGGCCUCCCCCUAAAAAUUUUUGGGAAGGGAAGCUCUUUCAAAUCUUCUGCUUCGGUGGGGUUACCCCCGCCGGAACAACCUCAAAAAUUCUUAUAUAAUUGUUCUGUCCGAGAAAAAUUUAUAAAAAUGCGAAAACUUUCAACAACGGAUCUCUUGGUUCUGGCAUCGAUGAAGAACGCAGC
rnacentral:misc_RNA from 1 species